CAGCCACUGAUGACGAUGGGGAUGGCAGUGUUGAUGAGGAUGUCGGCUGCGCCAGCUCAGAAGAUCUACAGUGGGCUCAGUGGGAGGAGUGGGAGUGUUUGGGGAAUGGCGACAAAACGAUGACCAGAAGGAAUCGGAAUUGUUCCGAUCCGCCAGUUCCGUGGUACGGAAAACCUUGUCUAGGUACGUCUGUAGAGCUCAGCAGCAGAUGGUGUUUGGUGAAGGGAGCAAAGGACUGCAUCUACCGCAACUGCGAUUGUCAGAACUGUAUGAAGAAAAAGAUCAAGGGACAGCUGUUCUGCUGUCCAUACUGUCAAUAUGGCUGGAGGGGGCCUCUGUGUACUGAAC